rnacentral:rRNA from 1 species
UUCGGGGGGGGCAAGCGUUGUUCGGAAUUACUGGGCGUAAAGGGCUCGUAGGUGGCCAACUAAGUCGGACGUGAAAUCCCUCGGCUUAACCGGGGAACUGCGUCCGAUACUGGUUGGCUUGAGUUUGGGAGAGGGAUGCGGAAUUCCUGGUGUAGCGGUGAAAUGCGUAGAUAUCAGGAGGAACACCGGUGGCGAAGGCGGCUAUCUGGACAGAGUCUGACGCUGAGGCGCGAAAGCUAGGGGAGCAAACAGG